CCCGCACAAGCGGUGGAGCACGUGGUUAAUUCGAAGCAACGCGAAGAACCUUACCAGGUCUUGACAUCCCGAUGCUAUUUCUAGAGAUAGAAAGUUACUUCGGUACAUCGGUGACAGGUGGUGCAUGGUUGUCGUCAGCUCGUGUCGUGAGAUGUUGGGUUAAGUCCCGCAACGAGCGCAACCCCUAUCUUUAGUUGCCAUCAUUGAGUUGGGCACUCUAAAGAGACUGCCGGUGUCAAACCGGAGGAAGGUGGGGAUGACGUCAAGUCCUCAUGGCCUUUAUGACCAGGGCUACACACGUACUACAAUGGCCGGUACAAAGGGCAGCGACACAGCGAUGUGAAGCCAAUCCCGAAAAGCCGGUCUCAGUCCGGAUUGGAGUCUGCAACUCGACUCCAUGAAGUUGGAAUCGCUAGUAAUCGCGGAUCAGCACGCCGCGGUGAAUACGUUCCCGGGCCUU
rnacentral:rRNA from 1 species